UUGACAGCCCUGAAGCCUGCAGAUCUCUGAGUGUCUGCAGAGCAGGGGCAGCACAGACAACAGUAGUGCUAGUUUCCCUCAUGCCUCCCCAUUCCCAUGCCUCCUCCCUCUACCGGGGAUCACUAGAGAGGAUGAGAAGGGAGUUCAUUCACCAUGGCCCAUUCACUCUUUCGCCUCC
ensembl:misc_RNA